UGCUAUCGGGGUUCGAUUAAGCCAUGCGAGUCGAGAGGUGCAAGACCUCGGCGCACUGCUCAGUAACACGUGGACAACCUACCCUGAGGAGGGGGAUAACCCCGGAAAACUGGGGAUAAUACCCCAUAGAUUAGGGAGGCUGGAAUGCCCCCUAGUUCAAAGGUCCGCCGCCUCAGGAUGGGUCUGCGGCCGAUUAGGUUGUUGUUGGGGUAACGGCCCAACAAGCCUUUGAUCGGUACGGGUUGUGGGAGCAAGAGCCCGGAGAUGGAUUCUGAGACACGAAUCCAGGCCCUACGGGGCGCAGCAGGCGCGAAAACUUUACAAUGCGAGAAAUCGUGAUAAGGGAACCCCGAGUGCCCGUAAAUUCGGGCUGUCCAUCAGUGCAAAAAACUGGUGAAGAAAGAGCCGGGCAAGACCGGUGCCAGCCGCCGCGGUAAUACCGGCGGCUCGAGUGGUGGCCACUAUUACUGGGCUUAAAGCGUCCGUAGCUUGGUUGUUAAG
rnacentral:rRNA from 1 species